rnacentral:rRNA from 1 species
AACGAACGCUGGCGGCAUGCCUAACACAUGCAAGUCGAACGAGACCUUCGGGUCUAGUGGCGCACGGGUGCGUAACGCGUGGGAACCUGCCCUUAGGUUCGGCAUAACUCCCCGACAGGGGUGCUAAUACCGGAUAAUGUCUUCGGACCAAAGAUUUAUCGCCUUUGGAUGGGCCCGCGUUGGAUUAGCUAGUUGUUAGGGUAAAAGCCUACCAAGGCGACGAUCCAUAGCUGGUCUGAGAGGAUGAUCAGCCACACUGGGACUGAGACACGGCCCAGACUCCUACGCGAGGCAGCAGUGGGGAAUAUUGGACAAUGGGCGAAAGCCUGAUCCAGCAAGGCCGCGUGAGUGAUGAAGGCCUUAGGGUUGUAAAGCUCUUUUACCCGGGAUGAUAAUGACAGUACCGGGAGAAUAAGCUCCGGCUAACUCCGUG